rnacentral:lncRNA from 1 species
UUAUGAGACAUGCAUUAACAUAACAUAUGAAAUGAAGUUAGAAUACUUACAUAGUAGGCAGUGACAGUGCCUGCAGAGUUUCCAGGAACAAGCUUGAGCUGCAUGUCAAUCUGGCCAAAGAGAUACUCAUUUCUAGACUGGAAGCCGGAGCCAGAGGCUUUGUCAAGAUUGAGAGUGAGAAGGUCGCCAUUGUUGGCAAUCUUGGCACGACCAUCUCCCCAAGUAAUGUCAAAAUCCUGGUAGAAGUUGCCAGCAGAUGCCACCAUGAAAGAGGACAAUACCAAUAGAGAAAGCACUGAAAUAUGAGGAAAUGCCAUGGUUGAUUUGUAGCAGACAAUAUAUGAAGUGUGGAAGUUGUAACUUUCUAGUGCUGUAUGAAAUAUGAAAGUGAAUGGAGCUUGAAAGGAUGAUUGUGGCAGAGAAGUACAGAGGAUUGGUAUUUAUAGUGCUGCUGCUCAGUGCUGAUGCUUGUGUUUGUGAAAACGAGUGAAAGGAAGGAGCAGAGGAAAGUGCCUUGCGGUGGACAACUGUAGUUUUCAAAAGAUAUGAAACAAAAAAUAAAAUAUUGAACAAUAAGCUGUCAUGUAUGUAUUCACGUUCAUUUCUUGAAACCAAUCCAAAAUCUUUUUAUUUAUGUACUGAAUCAAUAAAGGAUUGAUUGCAAUAUCUUAGGACGCGCAAUUGGGUCGGUUCCAAAGUGGGGUCUCAAAGUUUUUGUUGGAGAUAGCCUGUGUUGGGUAGGUACACCACACCGAUUAAUUGGUCUGUCAGAACUUAACAGUUGCUUUUGGUGAAUUUGCUGCUUCCUUUCCUUUGAAGUAAAAGUGUGAAUGAAAUAGUUUUAUAUAGAAUAGAUAAUGGUGGGUUUAGAAUUGAACAAUUUAUAAGUGAGAGGACUCACUUAUCUAUUGCUUUAGUGUUUUGAGGUGAAUAUGUAUGGUUGUUCCGAUGGAAUAACAAUUUUUUCACAUAUUAAUUUCACGUCCACUUUAUCAAGGUAUGAAGAAAAGAGAGGUAAAUGAGUAAUAUGAUAGGUGUUGAGACUUGAAAUGCAUAAAGGGAAAAGAAAGAAAAAAGAAUGAAAAUGAUAUGUAAAAGAAAGAGAGGUGUGAGUAUAACAAUUUCUUCACAUAUUAAUUUCACCUUAACCUCACAAAGUUAUGAAGAAAAAAGAGGUAAAUGAAUGAUAUGAUAGGUGAUGUAACAUACUAACAAAAAAAUGCAAAAUAAAAAAGAAAGAAAAAAGAAUAAAAAUUAUAAGUAAGAGAAAGAAAUGUGUGGGUAUAUCAUAAUUCAGUAAUUCAGUGAGAGUAUGAAUGAAUAAUAGCUCUUUGAUUAUAUGGUAUUUUUACUUUUUUAGUAUAGUUCAGUCAAUAAAUUAGGGUUUUUAACACUUUUAUGCACUUUCUUUUGGUCAUCAUGUUCACUAGCUUAUCAGGGUUUCUGUUUGUAAUUUCUACUUGAUACUACCUUUGACGUUGAGUAAUUACUGAGAACGAUUACAUCUUGAUCGGCAUAAAAAAAGUCAAAAAUUUCAACUUGACCUUUUAAAUGAAUUUGAAUAUUAACUUUUAAAUUAUCGUCUUGGAAUUCAUUGAACUGGCACAUUCUAUUACUUAAUUUAACUUCAUUUCUCAUCUUGAUAUAUAAUGCAUUUGCAUUGCAUUUCAAACUAGGUCUGAAGGGAUCUAAUCUUAGUCUGUCCAAAUAAUCACUUGGAUCACCACCAUCCUGGUCGACCCAAAUGACUAAAAAAUCGGUGACAGUAAAGUUGGCUGAUCAGAAUGAGCAAAGCAUAAGACUUCUAUUUGUGUAACUAACUAAGCUCAAUAUAAAUUAGACUUAUGUUCAAUCCAACGUAAGCAAGGCUGAACCAUUGAUACCACCCAUAUGACAUGCUAGUAAACGGCAAAUACCUACACAAUUAAUCAGGCAACCAUUACGUAUAAGUUUGAUAGGAUUGUAAGGCAAAGACACAAUUUGCUCUCUAUGUGCUAUUUUAGACUGAGAUUUUCUCUAUAAUUUUGAGUUAACUUUAGCGUAAGAGUCACUUUUGCAAUUACAUCCCCUAUCAUGGAUAUUUACUGCAUUGUCAUCCGUCAUGAUCACUGUCAAGUUGACCACCGUGCAUUUAGCUUAACAGCACCACACUCAUUCACAGGAUUUACAUGCUGAAAUUUCUAGAAGAUCAUAUGGGAAUAUCAAUAAAAAUUACACAAAUAAAUUUAGUGUUUUUGGUUGAGUGUUAUUUUAGUUGAGUGCUUAGGAUUCUCAAUUUUGGUCGAGUGGCUUUCAAAUAAGUUUUUUUAAUUAACUUUAAAUAUAAUUCACUUCAUAAACGAAAAAAUGUGCUUUUAUCAAUUAACAUAUUGAAUUAAUAGGUGCAACAUGUUUCAAGUUAUUUGAUUAAGGGUUAAAUAAAGUUUUGCUUCAUCUAUAACACACUAAGUUUGAAAAUGUCUCUCUUCAGAGCAAAGUUUAAACUCAGACCCCACUAUUUGAGAAACUACAUGAUUUUGAUCCCUAUUGGAGGUUGUUGUUCGGUGACCUGUGUCACUAACUCACUAAUUAACAUAACCCGACGAUAUUAGUGAAGCCAUGAGACGAUUACACGUACGAUCAGUGCAGCCAUGUGGCAAAGAACAUUGGACCACCACCUCUGGCGACUGGCAUGGACUAAAAUUAGAUAGUUUCUCAAAUAGUAGGGAUUGAUUUCAAACUUUACUUCCGAGGGGACCAUAUUCAAACUUAUCUUAUUAAUAAUGAUCAACAUCUUAUUUAAGCCUUUAAUUAAUUUUCACCUAAUAUUAUACCACCAUGUAUCCGCCUUGACUUUAGUCUUUUUAUCCGUGGGAGAUGUCAUGUGUCAACAAAAAGCACUGCCAUGAAAAAUGAUUCCGGAUGUUUAUUUCUUGUAAGUUGUAAUACAAAUAACAAAGAAUAAAAGAAUCAACAUAAAGAACCUUACAAGCCAAAUUCAAAUGGCCUAAAAAGAAGUUAAUCUUGCAAGAACUUAAGAUGUUAUGCACUCUGUGGGAAGUCCCUGAGGAAACCUCUUGGUGUCACUGCAAUAAUUGUAAAUCAUGUAAUUCUUCUGCACCCAACUCAAUCUGUCAUGACUUGUUGAAUCCAACUCUUGUGACAGCCACGCAUUGGAUGAGGCAGAGUUCGAAUUGCAAGAUGAUGUUCCUGACCCAGUUGAACGAACACAAGCAUUAUUGGCAUUGAAAUUUCUAUAUGAUGCAGUGAAAGGAGCUUGGCUCCAAUCUGUCUUCACAACACCACCUCUUGUUGCCCAGUCAUCAGCAUUCCAGAGACUCGAGUAUAUCCUCAUUGGCUGAUCUUUUGGAAAUGGAACUCCCUUUGAUUCCAUGUUCUUAAAUUCUCUGAUUGGGGUUCCAUCUACUGAAAAUCUGAAACAGAGGAAAAACAGGGGAUUGAUCAGUUAAAUGGAACUUUCAAAAAGAAAACAUGUGCUAAGUGGGGAAGUGUAGCGAAUCAUUGAUUCAUAUAUAGAAUUAGUGUGCUUACACAAUGCGUUGAGGAUUCCAGAGAAUGGAAUAAGUGUGGAAAUCUGCAGUUGGGUCGAACCAGAGAUAGAAUUGUUGCUCCCUGUUGCCUUUGCCCUGGCUGAACACAUUGGUGUGAAGAAUGUAAGGGUCUCCACUCAGAUUCCCCAAGAAUUCAAAGUCAAUUUCAUCCCAAUUUGAACCUUUUGAAGACAACUGUAUUAUGUAAAAACCAAAUUAGAAACUUGAAAGUUUAAUAGCAGUGACAAUUUGGCAUUGAGUACUGAUGAUACAUGCAUAAACAGAACAUAUGAAAUUAACUUGGAGUACUUACAUAGUAGGCAGUGACAGUGCCUGCAGAGUUUCCAGGUACAAGCUUGAGCUGCAUGUCAAUCUUGCCAAACAGAUAUUCAUUUCUGGACUGGAAGCCAGACCCAGAGGCUUUGUCAAGAUUGAGAGUGAGAAGGUCACCAUUGUUGAGUAUCUUGGCACGACCAUCUCCCCAAGUAAUG